GGUUUUAUAGGUUCUUCUUCUUCUUCAACAGCAUGCUCUCUUUCUCUCUGUCUCUCUCAUACUUCUCUUUGUGUUUGAUUAUCUUAGUGUCUGGAUUCAUGUGUGCAUGACAUUAUGUUAGGUUUUACAACUUAGGUGGCUCAUUUGUAGUUUGAAAUAGAUAGGCUGUUCAAUGUUUCAUCAUAUAAUAAAAGUUUGAUUGGAUCUUUGAUUUAAUCAAGCUCAAUCUAUAAUAUAUCAUACUUUUUUUUUUUUUUGGUGAGAUCUAUUGAACUACUACACUAUUGUAUGAUAUUUUCAAGCCAAUAACAUAUAGUUGUUAUUCGAAAUCUCAUUUUUCCUUCUAUAAAAAAAGAAAGAAAGAAAGAAAGAAAAAGAAAAAAGUUCUGAUUGACAAUUGCAGAAACCUUGACUCUUAUUAGAGUUGAUUUUUAAGUGUUACAGCACCAUUGGAUUUUUGUUGAUCUUUAGGAGUUCAUUUUGAGAAUAUUUCAAAUUCUGGCUUCCCUAUGUACUUUAUUGUAAUUACCAAAUAGAAGGUGUUCAAAACUUUUUUUUUUUCCUUUGUUAAUUAUUUUUUGUAAUAAAAGAAACAAGCUUAAAGUUUGCUCGUGGAAGGUUCCUUUUUGCGGGAGGUUGGCCAUGUGGAAGAUGAGAUGUCUACACAUAGGGGAGCAGAGCAGGUUGAAAGGUCAGAGGGAGUUGGAGAGUAUGUUAGUGGGUCCUUGAAGGGUCUAUCAAGUAGAGCUGCCUUGGAAAUUCUUGAAGAAUUUUGAAAUUUGCUUGAGACCUGGGAAUUUUGAAAAAGUAGAACUACAUCUCUCAACUUCUCAAGUACCUUGGGUAGACCGUUCCUCUAAGUAUUACAUUCUAUAGUGUUGCACAUGCACAAAAUGAGUGGUUAUGCCAUAUAUGAAAUGAAAUUUUUAUGAACAAAGUUAAUACGAAAAAAAAAAUUCUUCCACUUCCUCAUUAUGAGCAUCAUCUCAAUGAUUUCAGUAAUUAAAGAAUUCCUUACAAAACGUUAACCAUCUCCUUAUUCAUUGUACAGUGGCUAGUGUGUUGUGGGGGAUUGUUCUUAGUCUGUUUGGAGCCUAGUGGGUCUUUCCAGAAACUGUAAAGGAGGCGGUUAUCAGCUGGAAGGGUUUUUUUGUGGGUAAAAAGAGGGAGAAAAUUUGGAGAUCCAUACUGUUAUUUAUUUUUUGGACGGUUUGGAAGGAGAUGAAUAGAUUAGCAUUCAGGGGGGGGGGGGGGGAGUUAGCUAUACAGAAAGUUAAAAAUUCUUUUGUUUGUAAUUUGUGGGGGUGGGCAAAAUUGUAUAAUGGUGCGGAGCCUCGUUCCCUUAUAGGUUUCCUGGAGUGGAUAGCCUCCAGUUAAGGGUUGGUGGGUUUUUUUUGCUUCUUUUGGUUGUUGUUGUGAGGUCUUCGUCGCCUCGUAUACUACCUGUAUGCUAUGCGGCACUUUGCCUUUUGCUAAUAUAUGUGUUUACUUAUCGAAAAAAAAAAAAUUAAAGAAUUCCUUACACCUCCUUCAUUACUGUGCUAGCUGGAUCUCCUUGUUCCACAUGUCACGGAGACCCAAACUGAUAAAAUCAAUUUAUUUUCCUUUUGUGAAGGUAAAAAGAUACAUAAAUCCUAGAACAAUUAAUGUCAACCAUAGUAAUCUGUUUUAGUCUUGCCAUACCCAUCUCAAUCUCUCUCUCUCUCUCUCUCUCUCUCUCUCUCUCUCCCUAUCUUGCUCACACACAGGCACAUAAUUUUCUCUAUAUUAGGUAGUUUUAGAUUUUAGAUUCAUCCAUGCUUGAUUUUGUGUUAGGGUUUUUUAUUUUGAUAAUGAAAAUUGGGUUUUGUUCUUUUCAAUUUAUUUUCCUUUUUGUGAAGGUAAAAAGAUAUAUAAAUCCUAGAACAAUUAACGUCAACCACAGUAAUUUGAUUUUAGCCUUGCAAUACCCAUCUGUCUCUCUCUCUCUCUCUCUCUCUCUCUCACAUGCACACAUGCUUUUUUCUCUCUGUUCAAUUGGUUUUAGAUUUCAGAUUCAUGCAUGCUUGCUUUUAUGUUAGGAUUUUUUAUUUUGAGAAUUCAAAUUGGAUUUCAUUCUUUGUUUCAUAUAGGAAAUUUUUUUAUUGAAUUGUGUCUUGAUCAGAAAUUAUAUAACUUCAUACUUAUUUUGUGUUGUGGCUGAUGAAGUGAGCUCCUUGUCCAUGUGCUUGAUUUUAUAUUAGGAUUUUUUUAGUUUGAGAAUUAAAAUUGGCUUGUCUGUUCUUUUGUCAUUUAGGUAAACUUUGAUUGAAUAAUGUUUUUAUCUGAUGUGCUUUAAUUUCAUGCUUAUUUGUAUUAUGGCAGAAUAAAUUGAGUCCAUUUGAUACACUAUUUAUUCAGAAAAUGAUAUCAGAUUGUAAAUUUUCCUUAUAUGUACUUUCUGAAAGUCUUUUUUUUUUUUUUGGAGGAUUUUGUAUUUCCUGGAAGGAUUUCUCAUCCUUCAUUAUACUUACUAUUUUAAUUCAAUGAAAUCUUUGUUUUGGAUCAAACAAUUGUCCUUAUGUUUAAACAUAUCAUGAAAGAAAGCUUUUAUGUGACAGUUCGGUGGACAAUUAUGUUUCUUACCUAAGUUGUUUUUAAUUCAAUUUCUGUUGAUAAUAAUUUAUUCAAUAUUUAGUUGGUAGCAUUAAUUUGACCAUGAAACCUAAUAAAUGUCACAAAACCACCUCAAGUCAAGAGCAUAAACCCAAUUUCCUUGUAGUCCUCUUUUCUUGGCUUAAAUAUCUACAAGCACAUGUUUAAUAAUUGAUGGAGGACGUUUAGCUUAUAAAUCCGUCAACAAUAAAUAAUAUAAUGUUUAAAAUACUGAAUCUCUCUCUCUCUCUAAGUCAUGAAUGAAUUAGAUCAUUUUUUUCCCCUUAAAAUGUUUCCAAAUCGGGUGAUACAUCACAAUCUUGUCAGGUGAUGCUCGACAACUAAUCAAUAGAAAAUGGCCUUAAGCACAUGAUGAUAACCCUCUCUUGGAUAAUGUUGGGCCCUUCUUGCUGUUCCCUUGGUUUUCCUCUUAUGUGAAACACCACAAAUAACCCUUUCUUAUAUAAAGCUAGAUUGAAAGAACAAAAAACUAUACAUUCUUUGAUGUUAUGCAUUGCAUAUGACACUUACUCUCAUACUAGUAGUAGUGCUAUAUAUAAAAAAACCAAUACUAAAUUUAUUUCUUAGUCCUUCUGUAAAUGGUCAACAUUUCAACAAUUCAAUUGAAAUUUAAAAAAAAAAUGUGAAGAAAAACAUUUUUUGCAAGGUCCUUAGUUCUCAAACCCUGAAAUUGACCCCCUCAACUUGUGGGAUUGGCUGGAUCACUUUGUUUUACAUUAGAAGAUUGAUAAUUUCCUUUGUCUUUUUAAUUAAUCUAAAAAGAUUGUUGCCUAGAAUAAUUGAUAUUAAUUGCAUCCAUCUCUCAAUAUUCAUCUCUCUCUCUCUCUAUCUAUCUGUCUCAAUCAUCUCCUUGAUGUUUCUCAGAUUCUUUCCAAGUGAUACAUUAUAUUAUCUUUGUGUGUGCGAAUGCUUCAUAUGUGCUGUCAUCUCUUGUGGUAAUAAAAAGAAAAAUAAGUAUUGCUUCACCUACAGAGGGUUUUUUUUAAUUAAAAAAAAGAUUUACUAAUUGAUUAGUUUCCUUUUUUCAUGUUAAACUACCAUGUCAAUGAUUUUGUAGAUAAAAAACUGCCCCGAAAAAACUGUUGGCAUACAAAUAUUCAGGACCAUCCCUAGCCUGGCCUUGAACCCCACCUUUUCAUGUGUGCCCCGGCAGGAUCUCCUUUGAAACACACCUGUGUACACUUAGGUAGAAAUCCAUAUUAAGGUAAAACCUCAUCAAUGCUAAAAUGUUGAAAUUCAUCCAUUGAUUCCUUUUGAGCUUCCCAAUGUCCAUCUCUCUUUCUUUCUCUCCCCCCCCCCCCCCCCCCUCUUUCUCUCUCUCUCACACACACAUAUUCAUAUUUUCCUCUCUAUCUGAUGAUAUUUGAUUGUUUCCUUUGGACUCAUGCAUGCAUUUUGUUAUGUUAGCUUUGUAACACUGGUACAAUAUAAUAUCAAAACACUGUUUCUGCUGUGACUUACACAUGGUUUAGUUUGUGAAUCACUGGAAUACUUACACUGCUAUAUAAACUAUUAGUCAUUAGUUUAUUUAUAUGUUCUUUGAAGUUGAUCUGAAGUUUUCCUAAUUUGACCAGUUGUUCCUGUUCAAUAUGAACUUGGAAAGUGAUAAGUUUCAAAUACGGGGAAACCCUGGAAUUAUAAAUGGGCAAUCCUGGCAUCUGAGAAGAUCUCUUAUAGACUGGUAUGGUGUAAAAAUGUUUUGACUUGCAUAAUCUUUAAGCAGAUUUAUAAUGGCUAAGACUCAGACAAGGAUGCUUGAAUAAAUUGUGCACUUCUAGAGCAGAAUAUGAGACUAACAGGAGAUGCUUUAGGAUAUGCACUCUGAGAGUACCUAAAAUCACACAUCCAUACAUUCUAGUUCAUGCAUCUCAUUUUGGAAUUGUGCUUCCUAUUAUCACAAGCACGAAUCUAAAAUUAUCAUUUUUUAGAGGUCUGCAUUUGUUUCGCUAGAUUGGGGAAAUUCUGAAGCAGAUUUUUGUUUAGCCUAGGGAGGAGGCAGUACUUUAGAGGAACACUAAGGGAAUUCUGGGCCCUAUUCUUAGGACAUGCUUUUCUUAUUUUGUUUUGUGGUUUAUUGGCUUUUUUUGCCCUUUAUUUUUCUCUCUAAAGGGAUAUUAUCUUGUUGUCUUUUUCUUGAUAUAUAUAUAUAUAUAUAUAUAGAUAUAUAGAUAUAUAGAUAUAUAUAUAUAUAUAGAUAUAUAGAUAUAUAGAUAUAUAUUUGGCAAAUAAUUGAUAGAAGGGUUUUGAACAAUUGAAAGGCAAUAGUUGAUGUCCCUUUUGGAGUGAUCUAGAGUCUGGUUUAGGAAUGGUUAAUUGCUCUUUGCUUGAUUUCAUUGAUGACUUAAGUAGAAGAUAUUUGGUUUUUGUAUAGUUUCCUAUUUUCAUUUGCAUUGUGGUUCCCAUUGUGUACUUCCAGUUUAUGUUGUGUGCACGAACCGUUUUGCUAGGCUCCAUUUAAUAUAUCUGCAUUUGCCUAUUAAAGAAAGAAAGGCAAUCAUGAAUGUACUCAAUCUUGACAAUCUGGAAGGAAAGAAACAACAUAUCUUUUGAUAAUUAAAAGAACUCUAUUCAUAGACUAAAACAUUCCUUUGUAAUAUUUGGACUUGGUCUAAGUUGUUUUUAGUUUUUAGUCCCCCCCAUCUGUAGUAGAUUUUGUGGACUGGUUGGGCUUGUUGUGAGAAGGGCAUUGUUUUUUGUUGCCCCUCUAUUUUGGAGGUGCGUUGAGGCAGUUGUUGUAUGUGCUCUGUGUACUUUGGGGCGCUUUGUAUGCAUCUUUUGUUUAUGAUAUUCCCUUGCUUUACUCAUCAAAUAUAUAUCUUGAAGGCCAAUUUCAUUAUUUUUGACAAUUCUCAAAGCCUAUCUUUUGAGUGUUUGUUCUCUUUUGAUGUUGUGUCAUCACAUCCAUAUUUGGAACGCUUCUUUCAUACUAGUUAAUCAUACUCCCAUCCAAUGUUUUAAAAGGCUAUUGAGCCUCAAGGUGAGGCUUUGAAAAUUAGCCAUGAGGCUAUAGCCUCAAUUAAGGUAAUUAAGGCUUAAGCCUUACCAUGUCGAGGCUUAAGCCUCAUAGGUGCCUCAAGGUUAUUGAGGCCUAAACCUCAAAUAUCCUAAAGGUUUUCGGUCAUUGUGGCCUUUUGAUAUAUAUUUUCUAAUAGGCUUAAGCCUCAAUAUUCAAUGAGUUGUGAUGGGAUAUAUUAUCAUCUAUGAUUUUGUGGGCUUUUAAUAUAUAGAUUUUUUGAGUUUUGUAUUGGUUUCCCACAUGGUUAAACCUUUUUCAAAAUAAAACCUUAAUUGACUUUCAAUUAACCUUUUAAAUGAAAGGGAAAAAGAGAGUUUGAGAAGAAAGAAUAGAGAAAUUGUUACCAAAAAAAAUAGUAAAACUAUUGAUUGUCCUGGUGUUUGAUUUCAUAUAUAUAGAUGUAAUUUUAUUAUUAAUAGAUCAGAAAAAAUAAUGAAGAAGAAGACUAGGUGGAUAUUUUUUUUUUUUGAUAAGUAUGAAGACUAGGUGGAUAUUAACACUAAUUGGGAGGAUGAUAUAGCAAUUAGAUAUGAUUAUAUCCCUUGGAGGAUCCUACUAGUGAUAGUGAUAGUAAUGUUAAAAAUUAUUUGAUGAAACUAUGACAGAAGGUAAAAUGUUAGAAGAGAGAAAAAAUGAACUAAAUUAGAAACUAUUAACAAAAUAACAAAGAAGAAGACUUGGUGGAUAAUAUAACAAUUAGAUAUGAUGAUAUUCCUUGGAGGAUCUUACUAGUGAUAGUGCUUAGUGAUAGUAAUGUUGAAAAUUAUUUAAUGAAACUAUGAGAAAGGGUCAAAAUGUUAGAAGAGAGAAAAAAGAAACUGAAUUAGAAGCUAUUAACAAUGACAAAUAAUUAAUUUUAUUAUUAUGAAGUUUAUGUUUUCAUUUUUAUUUUUUAUUUUUCAAUUUUCUUCUGAAUUUAUGAGUACUUUUCUGAUUUUUUUGAUAAUUUAUUUAUUAUUUAGUUGUUUAAGUUGAGUCUUAUACCUCGUUUUGCCUUGAGGCUUAUGCCUCCCCUCACUUGGGCAAAACACCUCAAGACCUCCUUUAGCCAUUUAAAACAUUGCUCCCUUUUUUUCAUUAUGUCAUGCUUGAUUAGUAAGAUAAAAAUGAUACUUAGGUGAUUUGUUUUUUUAACUUAAGUCUUAAAACCAGUUGUUUUAAGAUUUAAGAUAAGUAAAAAGAAUUGCCUUUUCCAUUAAGACAAAAUUGUUUUUGAAAAAAUGAUAGGUUAAAAAACAAACAAUUUUAAAAAUGACUUAGGUCUUUCUGAUAAAAGAAAAAUGACUUUAAGUCUUAAAGCAACUUGCUUUAAGACUUCAGGCAGAAAAAAUAAAGAUAAAAUAAAAAAUUUAAUACUCAGUACUAUUAAGUACUAUUUAGAUUUAAGACCAAAAAAAAAAAAAAAUAGUCACCCUAGACAAUGCUUUCAAUCAACUUCUUUAUGUACCCUUUCUUUUUGGUUAGCAACUUCACAUAUAAAUUUAGGACCAGAAUAAACUCUGUUUAGAUCAAAUGUUGCUUCUUAUUAGGCUAGACAAGUGAUUUGUGAUUUGCUAAAGAAACUUUAUGUGGUAUGGAAGCAUUGCCUAGAUAAGUUGUGUGAAAUCAUUUUCUGUUUCUCUUGUAUUGUUAUAUGAGUUUUUGGUUGGGAAGUAAACAUACAACAUAUUUCUCUGGUUUUGUAUGCCAGGAUUAGGGAUUUGCUACAAUACAUUCUCUUGAGUAUAAAUGCUAGGUGUCUGUUUGAAAAGGAACUGAUUUACUAAGAUUCCCUUGAAAAGAAAAUGAUACUGUCUGUUUUUGUGAUGGUAGAGACAUGGAUUAUAGUGUUGAAUAAACAUGGGCUAUUUGGACUUUGGAGCUUAAUCCAUUUUCAUGACUUAUUUUAAUUGUUAAGGUUGUUUUCAGAAUUGCUUUGAAAAAGCAAAAUUACACUCUCAAUUAACAGGGGUUGGCUGUAUCCCAUCUUGUUAUACCUUCAUGCCCAUAAAGGCCAAAAAAAUAAAAAACUUUUUGCUUAUUCAAUGAUGUGAAAACAUUAAGAAAACUAGCUAGCCCCUUUCUGCUACAUCUCUCUCUCUCUCUCCCCCUCUCCCUCUUACACACACACACACAUUCAUUCAUGAAGAUCAUUUGUUGCUUCUUUUGAUGUUGAUUUAUGCUUCAUCAACAUCACAAAGGUAUUCAUCUCCUAUAUCCUUAUGGUAUGCAUAUAUACUUUGGUACCGCUGUGCUAUUGUGAACUGAUUGGCAAAUCAUUAUGUUAAAGUUUCUCUUCAUUCUGAUGUUUUGUAUGAAGAAUGCUAUGUAUGCCUAGAUAAUGUGAUGAUAUGUUUGUGCUAUUGUGGAGAAUUGAAUGGCAAUUCUUGGUCUUGAACAUAAUCUCACACCUGUGUGGUUUGCUCUCAUGAUGAUGCUAUUUGUCAAAACUGAGAAAUUAAUUAUUUCUUUCUAACAGUAAAAGAACAUUUCAUCCUUGUCCUUGAAUCCCCAGGAGAUGUCUCCAGCAUCCAGAUCUAAGUCCAAAGACAGAAGGGUGGGCAAGGAACCACCGAAAGCUUCUUCAAAGUCUUCAGGACCCGCCAAUGCUGGCAGUAGUAUCCCAGCCAGUGCAUAUGAUCCAGUUUUAGGAACAUUCCAUGGCCUUGAACCAACACCAGUGACAUCUGCCCCACCUCUUCAAAGUAAUGGCCGUUUUCGUAGCAUAGAUGAAACCGAUGACAAUUGUGGGAGCUCACUUGGUACGGGAGGUGAAUAUGAUGCUGCUUCCAAUAAUGGUAGCUGGUCUGGUGAGUCUGAAGAUCAUAAAGAAAAAGCAUCUAAUCCACCUGUCCGACAGGAGGCAAUACCAGGAGCUGACAAUGACAAAAGAGAAAAAAUCCGUCAGAAGAAUGAGAGGAAGCAUCAGCGUCAGAAGGAGAGGAGAGCCCAGGAACUGCAUGAGCGAUGCAGUGGCUAUCUGAUGUCGAGAAAACUAGAAGCACUUGCCCAACAGCUUGUGGCAAUGGGGUUUACUUCUGAACGUGCUACAAUGGCUCUCAUAUUAAAUGAAGGCAGAGUAGAAGAAUCAGUUUCGUGGCUGUUUGAAGGGGGUGAAGAAGCAGAUAAACACAAGAGUGAAAACCUUGAUGGUGGGAAUAAUUUGAAAAUUGACAUAGCAGAAGAGCUUGCUCAGAUUACAGGCCUAGAGAUGAGGUACAAGUGCUCAAAGCAGGAAGUUGAAAGGGCUAUAGUUGCCUCUGAGGGUGAUCUUGCGAAGGCAGAAGAAACCUUAAGGGCACAGAGGCAAGACCCACCUUCCACUCCACCAAACUCAGAAGAAACUGAUGAUCCACCAACCAUUACUAAUGGUAAGCUUCCAGUAGCUGUUAGCCAGAACCCUUUGAGGCAAUCAACACAGUCCAAUUCAUCUUCUACAAUACAACAAAGGAGAGAUGAAAAAGACUUCAACUAUACAAAAUCACCUGCUACUAUAGGGACAUCUUCCGAACCUGGAAGUAAAAAUGUGCAACCUUUGAAGGGAACGCAACCUAAGUUGGAGUGGGCAAGACAACAACAAAUAGUAAUGCAGGAAGACAAAAGGUUGCUGACUGCUGGGUCAAAUUCUUCCCAUUCAUACACAAUGGCUUCACCCCUUCAGGUGUCACAGCCACCAGCCAAGACGGAGACCCGUUUUGCUGCUGUUGGGAAUGAAUUUAAGAACCUACAGCCAGGACCAGUUAGGGAACCAGUUAUUGUCAUGCAGCGGCCCCAAUCUAUCAAUUUAAAGCAUGUCUCUUCUACAAGCAUGAACUCAUCCCCUCCAGGAACAGCAGCUGGUUGGUAUCAUAGUAAUUUUGAAAUUGCCAAGUCCAAUGGGUUGUCACCCAACAUCCCUAGCACCAGAAACCUCAACCUGAAUGAUCUUAGUGCAAAUCAGUUGUACCACCAACAUCAUUAUCAAACACAUCAACAACUCAUGUCCGGUUCAAGCCCAGCAGAGUCCCCAGGAACUCACCGGGGAAAUGGUUCACGGAGCAGAAUGAGUACAUCUCCAAGCCUUGCUGCUGCCUCCUCCCUUGGACUUUUCUCUGGAUUGGGUUCAACUGUCUCGUCAGGGUCCUCCUCUCCUGUAGACUGGAGCACUGGUGGCCAAAUGCAACUGUUAGACUACACGAGCAUAGAUUGGACGUUGGAUCGGAAUUUGUCUAAUGGGAGACCCAGUGGGGGAUUGUGGCAAGGGAUGGCUUCUCUGGUGAACAACAAUGCUUACAUGCAUGAUUCAAAUGCAUCAGUAGUUGUUGGUAAUCCUACCAUGAGAAUCAUUCCUCCCAAUGGGCCUGGAAUCCCAAUUCCAGGCCUGCAGGGCGGUGGAUCUGCUAAUGCCGAAGCAUCCGCUGGUAGCUCUCGAGAGUGGACUUCUCCUUUCGAAGAGAGAGACCUUUUUAGCUUGCCCAGAAGGUUUGUUUUUUCGCCUACUCUGUAGAGAGGAUGAGUGGGAGGGAGGGGUCUAGAAGAAUAACAUGAAAAAAAAAAAAAAAAAUGUGCUUGGAUUUGAUAUGUUGAUGUCGUUCUUGUAAUGCAGUCGUGUCGUGUAUUGGUGGACAAUCUUUUAAAUGCAAAGAAAGCUUCUAAGAGUCCUUUGGUUGAUAGGUCUCUUUCACUACUUGAUGCUUUUAUUUGGUGUGGAGGGAUGUGGUGGCGAAUGCCAUCUUCUGUGUAAUGCAUUUUUUCAGCCAUCACUUUUAAAGCCAAUUGGUCUUCUCAGUAUAUAUGAGACAGACAAAAGCUCAAUCAGAAUUAAAUAAAUAAAUAAAUUAUCAUAAGUUUUUUUACGUGGUUGUUUUUGGGCUCAUUUUUCAUCCAUUUGUUACCAGAAGGAAGUGCGCCGGAGGUAAUGCAAAAUUCAAUCAAUUUUUCCUAUUAUCAUUUAAAUAAAUUUUCAAAAUUAUCUCAUGAUAAAUCUGGGUUUUAUAGUGAAAAGUGUGUUGGAAUACAAUUCAGAAAAUGUUGGAGAAGAUGAAAUGUUUUAUGUUUUGAGUAUUUUUUAAAAAUAAUUUUUAUAUGUAAUAUUUUAUUUUUAAUUAUGGUUCAUAUUUAUAUAAUUAUUUUUUUAAAAUAAAUAAAAAUAAUUUUUAAUGUAUAAGGGCAAGUGUUCAAGUCUUUGGGCUUGGAUCUGAUUUUUAAUUUUAAAACAAAAUAAUGAAGAGAGUGAGGAGCCACACCCACAGAUGAAAGGUUGGGUGGGCCACAUUUAUCCAUCAAAUUUCCAACUGAAUCUCCAUCUCAACUCACCACUCCAACCUCUGCACUCUAUACGGGACACAACAGAACAGAAAGGCAGAAACAGCACAGAGGAGACGAGGAGUGGGCACAUAUACUUACAUAUGUGUUCAUGGCUCUUUCGACUCCUCCAAUUCUAAUCACUCCCAGAAGCCACCACCCGUUCUCCUUUCCAACAGCUCAUCACCCAUCAAAACAAGCACCCUUCUCCUCCUCUUCCUCCUUCAUCUCCAGGUCACUUCAACCCCUCCGCCUCCUCUCUCCUCCUACAACAACCUUCCACUUCAAGUGCUUCUCCAAAGCCCAAAGGCAGUCAGACGACCAAGUUGAGUUUGAGAGGCUCUUCUCUAACCUCAAUCAAGCCACCCUCAAGAGGGAACCUGGUAUUUCUUUCUUCAAUUAAGGUUUUCGGUUUUAAUUUUUUUUUUUCAUUGCAAUGCUGCUGUUAUUGAUGAUGGGUUUCUUUUCGACUGUUACCAGGAAGCCUCAGUAGUGCCAUUUUUCUUGUUGCUGGCACCACGGUAUGCUUUUCCCUUUUCAGUUUUGCAUGCAACAGCAUGUGGGUAUAGGUAGACUUUGAGAAUUCUUCAUCUUUAAUAGCUCUAGCUCUAAGGAAUAAUUUUGGAAGAGCAAAAAUGAUGAGUUUGUGACAUAAUGAUCUGUUUGGUAGUGGGAAAUAGAAUGCUUUCUGUGUUUGCAAGAAUAUGGAUGAUGACAUGAUUGAAGUUCAUUUUUGAAGGGAAUUUCUAAAAGUAGGUAAUAUUUAGGAAACUCCAAAGAGAUGUUUUGCAAUCAAAAAACAGAAAAUAAUUCGACAUGAUGUUUUUCUUCAAGAACAUAUUUUAGUUAUUUUUCCUUAUUUUCUGAGGACCAUUUUUAAAAAAAUAAUGAGAUAAAUACAAAGAAUAAUUGAAAAUAAAGUAUCACAUAUAAAAUUUAUUUUAAAAAAUUGGAAACAUAAAAAACAAGUUGAAAAGUCUCCCGGUUCUCAAACAAACUUUUGUACUAAAAAACAUCAUAGAACUGUUUUUAAAAACUAUUAUAAAAAUCUACUUUCCCAUAACAAUUUGCAAAAGCCUGUUUUUGAGAGCAUUUAACAAACAGGCCAUAAGACAUUGUUUUUCACAUUUUCAAGAUGCAAGCAAUUUGCCAAUUGAAAACAAUCUGAACUCAAAGAUGUCUAUGCUUUUCACUUUUGAAAAUGAAAACAUUUUAUUUAAAAACUGUUUCUGUUUCUGGAUCAAGAUGCUUUUGUGAAAGAGGAUGCAGGAAGAGCUUUUCAACUCCCUUUUUUUUAUACCUUAUUUUGGAUACCUCUGGACCGCUAAACUCUCCUCAGAUUAUAAACUUAGCUAGAUGCUUUUGGAUUCGUCUCUAGAAAAGCUUCUAAUCACACUCCAAAGUUAAAAUAAUGUUUGCUUUAUAAAUAGUUUUUGUGGAAUUAUUAGUAUUGCUAUUUCCAUCUCUUUAUUGUAACAGCCAUUUCUUUGUUGAAUUCUAUAGGUUGGUGCGGGGAUUCUUGCAAUUCCUGCAGUGACACAAGAAUCCGGUUUUCUUGCCUCUGCAGUUACAUGCUUUCUUUGUUGGGUAUAUAUGGUAAAAUUCUGAGACUACAAUCAAAAUUAGUGAGCCUCAUUAUUUCAUGGUAGCCUGGAUCUUUCUACUCCUUAAAUUUUGCUUCUCUCAUUGUGUGGGAGAUAGCCUUGUAAGUGACUCAAUUUUGCUUGAGCAUCCUAAAUUGUGCAGGUUGUUACUGGGCUGCUCAUUGCUGAAGUAAAUGUGAACACUAUGUGCGAACUGGGUUCUGGCGGUGUAUCAUUGGUAGUUUCUUUUUCCUGUUGCUGAGGGCUUGAAAUUAGUGUAUGGAUUGUUAAAUAUAAGAUAUUUUGUCACUUUAUAUGAGAUACCCACAUGGUCCAAUGAACACAUGGAUUUAAUCUAGGGUUAAUUAUUAGAAUUUAAUUUACCCUUUUGUAUCUAUGUUAGGAGCCAUAGAACAUGAUCCUAUCUCACGAGAUAGAUACCCUUUCCUCUCUCUCACUCUGUCUCCCUUUUCAAUUUGUUGAUGGUUCAAUACAUUGUGUGAGAUUGACAAUUUAAAAUUGUUUAUCCCAAGAAACUUGUAUUAUACGUUACCCACCUAAUGUUUCCUGAUUACACUUUCAAGAAAUACCAAAUUUACUCACCAAGUUGUUUAAGUGAUUGAGCACUCCUUACAUGAAGGUUUCUGCCUGACAUAACCAGGAUGCACUGGUUUUCCUUAGUACAAGAGUUAGAAAAUGUGGGUGUUGAGCAUGACAUAAAGAGCAAGUGUGCUAACCGGUGCCCAUUUGAGCAAAAAACAUAUCCAUGUACACCUUCAUUCAUGCUAUUGCUUCUUUAAUCCUGUAUUUUUGGGAGAAGGUUAAACUUUAAUUGCUAUGACGAUGUAUUUUAUACUUCUAUUGUUAGUUGCUUGUGAAAAUUAGAAAAUUGAUUGUAUUCUAUUAAUGAACAUUGUCAAUUGUCCAGGCCUUUUAAAAUGGAGGGUUGUUCACUUGAAAUCCUAUCAUAGCUGAUAUAAAUUACUUGCGCCAUGGCUGAUUUCAGGUGUCAAUGGCUAUGAGAACUCUUGGGCCAGUUGGAGUUCAAAUUGCUUGGUGAGUGGAUAUUUGGUUGCAGAUUUAUUGGACUAAACAUGCACACUGAUGGAACAGUUUUGGCAGUGAAACUAGUUUUUUGUGAUUCAACGAUUUUAUAUCAGUGGUUUUCAUUUAUAUGCCAACAUUAUUUUAUGUGAGCAUCUUUCGCCUUCUAUUGAAUUUAAAUUUAAUGCAAGUGCUUGUUGGUUGAAAAUGUACUCCCCUACUAUGAUGGUAGAGCCUCCAAACAUAGUAAAGAUCGGAUGCAACAACUUUUAAUUGAUCAACGCUUGAUGUAGUGCAUCUAUUGGGUCUUUCAAUGAAGUUAACAAACCAAAGAGAUGAUGGAGCCAACAAUCCUAAAUGAUCUUGGUUAGCUUGAUAUUUCUUCCUUUUCUGAUAACACAACUUCAUCAAUGAAUAGGGCCUGAUGGUGGUGAUUAGUGCUUACAAGCUUGGCCAAAAACUAUCAAGGGACUUUGACCUAGAACCCAGGAACCAAAACAUCUGACUACUACAAUCAGCUUCAAGAUAUUUGGUUGACACAUUGGGUGUUAAGUUUAUAUCUUUCCAGGUUAGCUGAGUGCUCUUUAUGAUGGAAGUUCCGAAUUAUAGUGGUUCAUUGCUCCACUGCUUGUAUAGCUCUUUAUGGUCAUGGUUCCUUCAUGAAUUUGGUUCAAGAUGUGAUGCCCCUAGAUGUUGGUAGUCUGUUUCACUCAUACUUUGUAAUAAAAGUUCUAAAUUAUUGAAGAAGCACUGGUUUAUGAGCAAUGCAAGAAUAAAUGUUCUUUAGUCUGAGUAUUCCUCUGCACAAGAGGUUCCUUUCCUUUUUAUUGCUCCUUUUUUUCUUCUGCAGACAACUAAAUUCACUUAGAAUUUAUUGAGCAAACUGUUCUUUUUCAUUCAAAUAUUGGCAUUUGGAUCCAUUAUGGCUUGCAUGCUCUAAAUCUAUAUUGUUUUGUCAUCUAAGAACAACCCAUUUCUUCUUGCUGCAGCUGGUCAUACCUUUUCAUACAUUAUGCCCUUCUUGUUGCCUAUGUGGCUCGUUCCUCAGAUAUUUUGACAAAUUUCCUUGGCAUUCCAAUGUAUGUAUCAUAAUUCCAGUCUUUCUAUUAGAACUUUGAGAGAAUAAAUUUUGUACUUCUUGAUGCAGUUAUCAUAUUCUGUUCCUGAAAAUAUUGUGGUGAGAUAUAAUUAUACCAUACCCUUCCUAGUUGCCAGUGUGGUUUAUUUUUCAUAUUUUUUUUUUUAUCAAUCUAUCUUUUUCUUCAUGGCAGCUGGAUUGUAUUUUAAAGUAAUGUAAAGAAAUGGCAUGAUAUAUUUGUUUGGGCAGCUGACUUUGGUUACAGUUGAACCUAUUAGAAACUUUAAAUAGUUCAAGUCUGAACACCAUCAGUGGUCCAUAAAUGUCAUCUAUUUGUUACCAUUAUAAACGUCAUUUGGUUGAAGUGUUUUUUCCAUAAUCCUUGGAGUCGUUUCUUGAGAUUAUUUUUUUUAAAUAUAACUUCUAAUUUAUGCCAAUUAACUACUAUUUAAACAAAUAGAUAUAUAAUCGGCUUAUGCAAAAAUAAAAUGCUAAUAAAGUAUUUUUGUUUAAUCAAAGUGAGAUAUAAUAUAGAGUGCAUGAUAUACAUUGUGGGCCAAAUCCUAUAAGCUUAAGACUUUAGGAAAAUUGGUUGUCUAACAUGGUAUUAGAGCCUCAUUUGGCAGGAAGUCAUGUGUUCAAACCUCACUGAAUGUUUAUCUCCUUAAUUUAUUAAACCCUAAGGAGGCUACUUUAUUUCCCCCAUUUACCAAGCCCAUGUGUAAGCUCAAAGGAGGAUUACACAUGAGGGAGGGUGUUAGAGUGCAUAAUAAUACAUAUGGUCCAUAUCCUACAAGAUUAAGCUUUAAGGAAAAUCAGUUGUAUAGAAGUCCACAACAAACAAAAAAAGAAUGAAAGGAAGUGUUACAUACUUAUCAAUACCUCUAGAUUUUGAUCUAAAAUCAUCAAUGUACCAAAGAUUAUAGUGUCUUUUCUUAAUGGCAGGAUGAAUAGAUUCAAAUCAUGUAAGUGUAUCCCAUUAGCAAUAUAUUUGUGGCUUAUUCUUGCCAUAUGUGAUCAUGUAAGGCUGUUUUUCAGUGUGCUUUGAUUCUACGUGCCUAAAUGUUGAGUCAAUUUUGUUCCUUAUUGACUAGGAAUUGCAUGAAAAGGAACUUCUAUGCAUAAUACAAUAGAUUUCAUAUGUUUGUUAGGUGUUGAUGGCAGCAUUAUGAUUGCAGAUGGGAAAGUGCCACCUUGUUCUCAUUGGUUUUUGGAGGCAUAUGCUAUUUUGGAAGGUUAGGGCUGCUUUUCUAUUUCCCUCCAGUUUGUUUGGUCCUUUUAGGGGUGGGGGAUGCUCUAUUUUUGGUUUUUCUUUCUUUUUACAUCGUAAACCACUCCAUGCAGGUUAAACAAAUUAGCCUCAUUCUAGAUAUCAUUGACUAAUUAAUCCACAGAUGAUCUUUUCGCGGAAGUUAAGAUAGGAAGAUAGUCUAUUCUCGGGUACGUGUGUGGAAUUGCGUGCUUGCCUCUGUGUGGAUAAUUAAUCAAAGUUUCUAUUAUAUGGCAUAAGGGGGGGGGGGGGGGACUUAUUCUUCACUUCACUAUCCAGCAGUUAUACAGAGGAAAUUUCACAAUGCAAUAACAGAUUUAGAUUUGCUGAUCCUUCCAAAUGUACAUAGAGAUGACGAUUUUUUGUAUAACCUAUUUGGUUCUUUUUACUCAACUUUGAACUUCUAAUGUUUUCUACCCCAAACUUACUUUUGCAGCCAGAGGUUUAUUGGUGCCAUUAAUGGCGUUUUGGUAUUUGGGAUCAUCAUUUCUUUUUCCGCUCUUGUGGUAAUUCUCAUGAACUCUAUGAUUUUAAGUGUUAAUUUCUUGGAUAGUAAUUAGAAACAACCUUCACUUAUGAAUAAUAUUCUGCAUUGAGUAAUAGCUUUUGAUUGAUAAGAAAUGAUCAUUCCCUUUGACGAUGCUCUUUUAUCCUCUGAUGGAGUGCAAUCAAUGGAAUAAUAUACAAAUUUGUAAACUUGGUAAGUGUGCCCAGUUCACUGCACCACCACCCCCAAGUUUUUACCAUGCACCCUGGGAAUACUUGCUCUGAUACUAGAUGAUAAUAACAUUUUCUGAACAAUGGGAAUGGAAAAUAAAUCAGAUAAUAAUAAUUUUAGAACAUUAAAAAUUGAAAACAAGAUGAAUAAGAUGAUGUUCUGCUUCCCUUUACAUAAGACUCUACCUUUAUCAUAGAUUUUUACCAUGAGGAAGUUUAUGUUCAGGCAAGCCAGUAUCCUUAAGAAACAAAAUUGUCAUUCUCUCCUUUUAUACCAUCCUAUAAUCAUUUCUACCCACAAUUUUGUUCUUUCAUAUGGAAGAGUGGAUCGUAUAUUGCACCCUGCAACAUUGGGACAUUGGUUCCUGUCACAUAGGAUGCUGCAAUCGAGGAGAGCAGCUGUCCCUCAUAUGUGACAACCAUGGAACAAUUGGGCAUGUUUCAAAUGUAAUCUGUUACCUCAAAUCUCCUAGAAUGUUGUUUAGGAUCCUUCAAAGAUCUGAGAAAGUUCUUGGGGAACUUUUAGAACUUCCAGAAUAUCGGCUGGAUGUUUUACCUAUCCCAUUGAAAUGAACACCUGAUUCCUUCUUCCAGGUAGGGGGGUGCCCAAAAAUAGAUAUGAUUAUAAAACUUAUCAGGCUGUAUGUAUGAUUUCUUGGAGUAAAGUAUAAUAAGGUGAAUUGGCACAUGGAGUCCUUUGGAAAUCUUCUCUAUCUCUAAGCUACCGAGGAACAAUGAAGAUUAGAUUUUUUGGAGUUCGAUUCCUGAGAUUUUCUUUAAUGCAUAUUACAGUAAAGAGGGAUUAACUUCUUAUUCUUAGGCAGCCACAAGUGGAGACCUGCAGUGGGAUGCUCUUCUGAAAGCCAACUUUGAAGCCGUUCCUCUAAGCAUACCCAUAAUAGCACUUUCAUUUGUGUACCAGGUAACACCACCAACCUUCACCUAUAUGAUGUUGAAGGGGUAGUAACAUUUAAAGCCUGAUUUGUAACAGAAUGUAGUACCUGUUCUUUGUACAAAUCUUGAAGGAAACCUCUCAAAAGUAAGGUGACAAAUCUUAUCAUUACACUUUGUUUAAUACUUGGUAUAUACUCUAUAGUGUAGUAACUUCUUGCCAUCAACUUUUUUAUGAUAAUUCUAACAUUUGAAAUGAUCAAAUCCUUCUAAUUGUUCCCCAGCAUGUGAAUGGUAUAAAGAUGAUGGAUUAAAACAUUUCUCUUGCUGGAAAUGCAUAUAUAGAAUGAAUGUUAGAAGGCUUUUCUAUUAAUUUUAAGAGUUCUUGUGACUGUUUUUUCCUUGUUUCUUUAAUAGCUACUUUUUGUAAUAAUGGAUUUCUAUGUCAUUAUUUCUGUUGUUCAAACCUUAAGGAAACUGUUUUUUGGAUUGGUAGGAUGGAUUUCAUUCUGUCAUCACAUCUUAUCCAGAGCCAUGACUUCCUUUAUUUUUGAGAUGGCAGAUUCUGAAUUUGGAGAAAGUCAUUGGUUAUUUUGCUGCAGAAGACUACAUAAGAGGAAAGAUAAUUACAAGUAAACUAAAAGAGGAAAGAUGAUAAGAAGAUUCAAAUUCAAUCCACAUCUAUUCUUUAAAAUAAUGAACAUGAAGAGUGAUGAGUUUGAUGAUGUUAUAAACAAAAGCAAUCAAGAUAUAUCAGAAAAAAUUGUUGUGUUUUGCAUCAUUAAAAUGUGGUAACUGAACCCAAAGAAUAAUUGAAUCUUGAAAAUCCUUGCAAUCAGAAGCCAUAGAAUGAUGAAAUCAAUUGAGAUUCACCUCUAUGGUUUGUUAUUGAAGAAAUCAAGGCUGUAAAUUGGUCUGAAUCUCAUGUUUGCUUAGAAUCACACCAAACUCUGAAAAGGGCAGAUGCUGAAAUGAAUUGCUCAACCUCCAAUUGGGGCAAAUUUAACAGUGAGAAGCCUGAGGAAGAUGGUUAUGAUGAUGGGUAUCCCUUUAGGUGACAAGUGCUGAUGGCUCUGCCUCACCUCACCAUCCAUAAACUAACAUCAGCAGUUGCUGCAUUUCCUGCUCCUCCAAAAAGAAAGGAACCUGCUCUGGUUUUGCAUGGCUCUACCACCAAGUUGCCCAUGUCAUUAAACCCAGAAAAAGCAAAGAAGGAAAAGUGGUGCUGUAAACAGUAGAAGAGUUAUCAAUGUCCCCUUCUAAUAUUUAUGUUCAAUCAAGUGAAACUUAUAAAUAUUUUCCUAAUAGUGUCUAGGAAAAGAGGUGCCCAUUUUCUGACAGUUCAUUAUAGUUUGUGUUCUGGGUGUGAGCAUGUCCUCAGCCAAUGACUUUGGAAAUUCCUAAUCCUCUUAUUAGAGUUUCAAGUGUACACAACGUUGAAUCUGAAGGGACUGGCAUAUAACUUACAAUUAUUUAGAAUAUUCCAACUUUUAUAUGUGGAGUCAGUUGAAAAAAUUCCUUAUAAGGUGAAGGAAAGUUUCGUUAUGAUGAUGGAUGGAUAAAGAAACCUAAUAAUUAAGCUCGGUGUGUGAAAAACGGGAGGCUGAAAACUGUAUUUUGCCAUCCUUGUUGCUUUUCCACAAGCUGCCAGAGAUAGGCAGUACUAUUAUGUUCUUGCAAACUGUAAAGAGGUUUGGGGAAAUGUUGACCUAUUGUAUUUGCCUAGAAAGAAUAUAGAUGAGUGUGAACAGGAUAAUUGGUUCUUUGCUAUAUAUUUUUGGAAGCUUGGGGUAUAUUGUGGAAGAGAGUGACCAUCUUCAUGUAUCCUGUUAUUCAAUGGUUUUUCUUGCAUCUGCUAAGAACUUUAAGGAGAUGAUUGAGCAGGAUUGCUAUCUUUCAAGUUUUUCCAUGGUUACGGACAGGCAUGGGCAUCAGAGUCUUAGGAAGGAUCCAGUUCUAUUCUUAAUCAACACUUAUGCUUAACAUUCAGAGUGAGGGAACCUAUAGAAACACUAUACGUAAUGGUCACUCUAUCUGAUAAAGUUGCACAAGACAGCAGAACAUGAGUAAAAGUAAUAGAAGUGGAUAUAUGUUCUUGGGGUGGUCAUGGUAAACCAGCAAGCUGUGAACACUGUAAUUGCCCUAAGCGUAUAGGGAGGCUGGUGGUGAGCUGCAUCUAGAACUUAGACAUCCACCAUUUGCAUUGUGAUGGAAUAAACCACUUAGAAAUAAACCAACAUUUCAUCAAAGAGAAAUUUAAGUAUGGCCGUUUUGUGCCAUUUCUAUAGAGACCUAGAAUCAAAUUGCAGAUGUUAUUAAAUUAUUACCAAACGUUUAGCUAGGUCUUUCUUUCACAAGUUGCGCAAGUGUAAUGUUCAUGCACCAAUUUGAAGGGAAGUAUUGAGAGGAUAAUGUUUACAGCCUCCUCUGCCCUCUUUCCUCUCCCUUCUCAUGAUUUUCUUUUCUUUUCUACCUAACAGCUCUAAUCACCCUGUAUCUCUAGCUCUAAUCACCCCUCUCACUUCUGUUUCUUACAAUGAUGGCCCCACGUGGGCAACAUGUGCAACUAAGGGUAAUUCAAAUGAAGAACAUAUGCAAGAAUUCCUAUGACAUGAUUUGUUUCUCUGGCAGUUUUGUCAUCAGUAUUUGCACAUUGGUCCACUUAUGUACCAAAUGGUUGUACCUCUAUGACUAAUAGCAUUUUGGCCACCACAUAACCUAUUGUAUGAUUGUUUGAAGUGGCCACAGAGAUGGAGGUCAUGGUUGGGCACAGGUUGCAAUCAAAGUCUGAACUGACCUGUAUAUUUUUGUUUAUCUGGAAGCCUGUUACAGUAACCCUUUUAUUUCUAUGGCUUGUUUUUUUCUAUGAUUCAUGGGAUUUAUUUCCUUUCAUUACCGGUCUGUUUGCUCAUGUGGUAUGUCACUCUCCAGGUGAUAUUUAUAAUAUUUUGUGAGGUCUGUUUUGAAAUUUUGUACACUUAGAUAUCAUCAACCUGUCGAUUUGCAGGACAUCAAUUGUUCUAGGCACAGCUAUCCCCCUUGUUCUGUUUCUUGUUUGGAAUGCUGUUAUACUAGGAAGCAUUACAAAUAUUGGAACAGGUGCAGAUAAGAUUAUCGAUCCAAUAGAACAAUUGAGAUCUAGCAAUGGGGUUAUUGGAGUAAGUAAUGCUUAAUGUCUUUUGAUCUCAAGUGCAAGUCAUUAUUUCCUUUUAUCAGAAAAGUGCUAAAUGACGGAUUUUCCCUCUUCUAUUACUGUAUGUGGCCUUCUACAGCCAAUAGUUGAGGUCUUCUCGCUAUUUGCAAUUGCAACUUCCUAUAUUGGAUUUGUUUUGGGCCUCGCUGACUUCCUUGCUGACUGUGAGUGCCUCUUCCUACAUUUAUUAAAACUAAAAAUAACGUCAAUUUCAUAUUGAUGAUGUGAUUAGUCCUCACUUUUCAUGCUGUGCAUUACUAAUGUAUAAAUGGCUCAUUGAAUUACUAUAAAUUCAUUCACUUAUGAAGCCCAAUUUUGGAUAUGCUGGUAGCCAAGUAAUUGCCUGUAGGCUGUAUCACUCAACUUUCUGACUGAUAAUAGAGGGGUUUGCCAUAUUCGAGCUAGUAGCCCAUGCACAAACUUAGCAACAGAUUGGCUUUUGGAAUCAUCAUACUGUCCAGACCAUUAAUAUAUGAACUCUAUAUGGAGACAGCCUCACUUGGACACACGUGCACAUGUAUAUUUGGUUGUGAAUAUGUCAAGCCCUGAGAUUGCACACAUGUAUAUUUGGUAUGAUGUGUAUGCACAUUGUGAUAUUGGAAAGAUGUCUUCAGCAUUCUAGUCAAGAAGUACAUCGUCCUUAAAAAGAUGUGAUGUAUACUUGCACACCAGUGCUUUAUAACUUAUCAAGAAACAAAGAAAUUUGCGACAUUAUCAGACUUGACUUGAUAAGAGAUUGCACCAUACAUGCAUUUUUCUGCAUGUUUAGAAAAAUAUAGAAGAGAAGCAAACACAUUCACUAGUGUCUAAAUUAUUGUUAGGCUUGUAAGUGUUGAUUUGGUAGAAAUACAGUAAUAAUACACUUAUUAACUAAUGGCAUACCGGCCUCCCUUCUUGCUGUCUGUCUCACUGUUGAGAGCCAAAUUGGCUUGUUUCUCUAUCUUGGCCUUGACCUUUCUCAUUCUCAUAAAUGUUCCAGUGCUGAAACUCCCAGCUGGUCAGAGCAGUCCUUUGCCAUACCUAUUAACCUUGGUUCCACCAUUGGUAUUGUCAUUGCUCGAUCCAGAGAUAUUUUUCAAAGCCUUGGAUUUUGCUGGAACUUAUGGAGGUAUGGUGGUAUUUUGAAGUUUAAAUCUCUAUGAAUUCAAAUCGAUCUUUGUGAUUGAACAGUGUUUAGGGCUGUUGUAGAGUAGCUCUAUAAUGGAAUGAUACAGAUGUAUCGACUUGUUAUUUCUCAUUUGAAACCGGAUUCUUUUCCACAUUCAUCUAAACAUGGUGAGCUCACAUUCUGCCUAAACCGUUGCUUGGUUUCAUGGACUGCAGUUCUGGUGCUAUUUGGAAUUCUUCCAGCUGCGAUGUCAUGGUCAGAUAGAUCCUCAUCUUCAGAGCAGUCUCCAAGACUUCCAUAUCUGGUUCCAGGGGGAAAACUCACCCUUUCUCUUAUAAUUGGGGGUGCAGGAUGUGUUAUUCUUUCUGAGCUGCUUGAAAACUUUGGCCACCCCUAAUCGUCAAGAUACACAAGUCCUGUGCUGUUUAGACUCAUCAAAAGCCAUGAAAACCUUCAACCAUGGAGUUGUUGGUCUGCUAUUUGUUUAUUUGCUUUUUCUGAAUCUAAAUAUCACCCUUAUAACCUAAUAAAUUACCAACUCUUGUAUACCAUCAUUCAUGCCAAUGCAGCUUAUUAGGUGGCACGACACCCUUACAUCAUGUUUGGAAUGUUGGAAUAGAGAAUUGGAAUGGAAGUCGAUGUCAUGUCCAUUCAUUAAUGUGUUUGGAUUAUUUUUUAGAAAUGGAAAUCAAAUCUCACCCUUGCUAAGAUUUUAAUUUUAAUUCCUCUCUUCUACAUAGCAUUGUGAUUUACCACCAUUCUCAUCUACAUCCAUUCCUAUUUUACAUAUUCCAAAGCUAAUUCUUUGAACUUUUCAUUAAUUAAUUAAUAAUACUUGGAAUAUGAACAUAACAAGUAUCGUGAAUUUCAAAAUGAAUCUAAUUUAAUUUCAUCAAAAUCCAUGCAUGGAAAAAUAAAUUAAAAUAUUUAACAAAAGAAAACUUAAGGGGGUGUCAUUAAGACCACUUUUUAGUUCUAACACUAACACCUUGAGUACUUUCAUAAGAGUGAUGAUACAAGUUUCGAGGUUAUUCUUGGGAAAAUUCCUUCUUGUUUAUUUGAAUAAUAUUUUGAUAUCUAGUUGAUCUAAUGAGCAGCAUUUAAAUCAUCUUAGACAAGUUUUCCAUACCCUUAGAGUUGGGAGAUUGUACGUUAACCUUAAAAAGUGUUUGUUCAUGCAACCCUAGCAAGGUUGAAGCCAUAAGAGAUAAGCCUAAACCUAACACUUUGACUACAAACCGUAGUUUCCAUUGUUUAGCUUCUUUCUAUUGGAGAUUUAUUAUGUGAUUUAGUACCAUCACUACCCCAAUUACUAAGUGCAUGAAAAAAGGAGACUUUCAGUAGACCCUUGCAACUUAUAAAGCUUUCCUAAUGAUUAAGCAAAAAAUGAUUGAGACCUAAAUUUUGACACCUUAAUCUUUCGAAGGUUUUUGAGGUAGUCCAUCACUACCCUAAUUACUGAGUGCAUGUAAAAAAGACUUUUUCAUAAGACUGUAGUGACUUAUAAAGAUUUCCUAGUGAUUAAGCAAGACAUAAUUGAGACUCCACUUUUGCAACAUCCUAAUCUUUCUAAGGUUUUUGAGGUAGUUUAUGAUAUUAUCGAAAUAAGUAUAAGUAAUGUUUUAAGUCAAGAUGUCCAUCUUGUAGCCUACUUUAGUGAAAAACUCAAUAAGGAAAAACAAGGGUAUUCUACUAAUAAGGAGUUUUAUGUCAUGUGUGACUUCUUUGUCAUUGGCGAUACUAUUCACUACCAAAGGAAUUUAUCCUUUACUCUGAUCAUGAAGCCCUUAGAUAACUAAAUUCUCAAUGUAGGUUAAGUAAAAUUCAGGUUGAGUGGGUUUAAUUCCUCUAAGACUACACUUUCGUUAUCAAACAUCAUUUUGCAGUAGAGGAUAAGGUCAUUGAUGCUCUUGGCCAUGUUGCCAUUGUCCUCCAUUCUAUGAAUAAUAAACUAGUAAGGAUUAAGCAAAUUAAGUUACCCUUAUGCCAACUUGAUCAUCCAGGGAAGGUUAUCUUUUCAAGGGAAUUAAAUUAUGCAUUCCUCAUACUUCACUUAGAGAGUUUCUAAUUUGGGAAUUACAUGCUAGAGGUCUAGCUAGACAUUUCAAUAGGGAUAAAAUUAUUGUUCUAGUUCAAGAUAUGUUUAAUAGUGUCCUCAUGUCAUACCUAUUAGUUAAGGCUAAAAAACAAAACAUAGGCUUGUGCACUCCAUUACCUAUUCCACAUACACCUUGGUGUGAUCUUAACAUGUACCAAAGGUUAUGAUUCCAUUUUGGUAGUUGUGGAUAGAUUAUCUAAGUUAUCUGAAGUAGUUUUGUCAGAAGCAAAAGGCAAUAUCAAGGCGAUAAGACUCCUUUUAACCUAAGGUGAAAAGCAAAAAACAAGACGAUAACCUGACUAUAAAAAAUAUACACAUAUUUACCUAUUCGAUACUUAACCAAUAUAAGUGUCAUCUUCAACAAUCAACACUAUUAAUUUUUCAUCCCUCGUGUUGUCUUAUGAAAUUAACAAAAUAACAAUAAUUAUUCAAAGAAAUUAUUCAAAGUGUUAAAUAUUAUACCCCACAUUAUAAGAAAUAUCAUAUUGUUUAGAGAUAUUCAUCUUGUUUAAAUACAUAUUCUAUUUUUUAAAAACAUUUAAAAAUAAAAAUAAAAAACAAAAUAAGAGAAUGAACACCUUAGAGAAGUUUUGAGCAUCAUCAUUAUCGUCAUCACUGAAAUUAAAAUUAUCAUCACUUCUAUCAAGACUAGAUUGAUAACUCUUCAUCUCAUUAUCACUAUAAUUAAUAAUAUAAUAUUUCAUUUUAUGUUAGAUUGAAUGAAAUUGCAAUUUAAGUAGGUUUAAUCUUAACUCAUGGUCAAAGGCGACCACCUCUAUACCUUGCACCUUAUCCCAAGGCAACUGUCUAGGCAUUACCUCUUUGAAGUUGCCUUGCUUGGGUCUUCAAAAGGCAACCAUCGGAUUUGAUAAUGCUAAUAUAAAGUUCUAAGAUCAUCCGUGCUUCCUCUAUGGCAAGGUUGUUUUGAACAAAAUUAUGAGGUUACAUAGUUUAUGUAAUAACAUGAAGUUAGUGAAAGUCUAAUAUCAAUUAUUUAGUCUUUUGGAACGAGGAUUGUUAUCUCAAGAGAAGUAACUUUUGGAAUGAGUCAUAGUCAAGGAAUAGGUGUGAGAAUAGGCCUAUUUUAGAACACUUACAAUGACUAGUUGGAUGGCACAUGGCAACAACUUGAAGAUGAGUCAAUUGCUAGCUAGAAGAUAUGUCUCUUUAAUGAGUAGCCUUAAACGUGUAAGGGAGAGCACAAAAUUUUCUCAGUUUCUUUCUAAACUUACACUUGCAACUAAAGGGAAAUCAAACUAUGAAAAUUGAAAUUUGAGGAAUAAUCAAGUUGUUUAAUAAAUAGAGAAGUUGCUAUUUUAUUUUCAAAAUUUAACAGGUUAUAUAUGCUUGUAUACAUUAUUAUUAUCAUAUAUGCAUCAUUUUCAAAGUUCUUCAACUCUCUAAGCUACUCAUUCCCUUUCCCUAAGGUUAUGUUUGGUUCUCGAAAAGUAUCAAGGAAAAAAUAUUAAAGAAAAUUAUUUUCUCAUGUUUGGUUAUAAUAUAAAAUAUAGCAAAGAAAAUCAAAUAUAAUUAAAAUUAAUUAGAAAUUUAUAUAUUUUUCAAUUAUUUAAUCUUUAUGUGAAAGAUUUAAAAUAAGUGAAAUGAGUUUAAAAAGUAGUAUAUACAAAUAAUUUGUUGACUUUAAAUAUGUUUUUUUAUUUUCCUUCACUUUUUCUUUCUUUAUUUUUUUUUUCUUUCAUAUUUUCCCUUAUAAUUUUUUAGGAACCAAACAUAGUCUAAGGAAUACACACACAACAAAUAAAUAAAUAAAAACACCAUGAAAAAGAAGGAACUCAUUCACCAUCAUAUUCAAGUCAAAAUCCAAACUAUUCAAAGAAAAACUUUCCAAUAUUUAGAAUAAAUAAAUAAAUAAAAUUACUUAAGUUUCAAAUUUUCAUGUGUGUUUUCAACUAGUGUAUGCCAUUUUUGUAUGAGUACUUCACUUCUUUCAUCUUUUACCAUUUAUUCCUGACCUUAAUUCAGGCAAUUAAUACAAUAAUUUGACAAAGAAAUUUUCCCAAAGUUGACUUUCUCGAAAAUUAUUAGUAGUCAAAGUUACAUAUAUUGGUGUAUCAUGUAUUGGAUUGCAUAUCAUAUAAGCAUUGUAAGAUAAAAUUAAAGAUUCGAUACAUAAAGAUUUACUACAUGUAUUGUUGAAUCAUGUAUUGGAUCGUAUAUCAUAUACUCAUUUUUACAUUAAAAAAAAAAAAGCAAUGUAUUUGUAUAUCAUGCAAGUGUAUUAUAAGUUUUUGACAAUCAUGCCCCUAUCAUCUCAAAAUGCUAGACUGGCCCUAGGGUGACACAUCUAUAUCAGCCAUCUGGUUGAACCCAUUCCUACAAAGAAGCAAUCCAUCAACAAACUCCAAACUCUUUUUCCCUAGUUCCGUGUUCAUAAAUCUCUAGGGUGUUUUCUCCAAUUUCAAGGUGAAAUGAAAAAAGAAGCACCUCUUUAAUGGGUCUAACUUGUUGAGAUCAUCAACUAUUUCUGGGUUAGCUAAGUGCAGAAACCGGGCAAGAAGAUGUGCUGUGAUUCAUAACUUAAAACAGAAAAGAAGCCAUAAACCCAACAUAAUUCGGCAAUCAUACAAGGAACUAUCAACAUCAGCAUCAAGAAGCAAUAAGACUUCAUUUUUAAAGUAAUGAUAAAGGUGCAAUCUAACUAUAUGUGACAAAGGAGAAAGGAACUAAGGUGCACAGUACACUUACCAGGAA
rnacentral:lncRNA from 1 species